rnacentral:rRNA from 1 species
CGGGGUGCACCAGGCGCGAAAACUUUACAAUGCGGGAAACCGUGAUAAGGGAACUCUGAGUGCCCGUUAAAUCGGGCUGUCCAUCAGUUUAAAAAACUGGUGAAGAAAGGGCCGGGCAAGACCGGUGCCAGCCGCCGCGGUAAUACCGGCGGCUCGAGUGGUGGCCACUAUUACUGGGCUUAAAGCGUUCGUAGCUGGUUUGUUAAGUCUCUGGGGAAAUCUUCCGGCUUAACCGGAAGGCGUCUCAGGGAUACUGGCAGACUAGGGACCGGAAGAGGUGAGAGGUACUCCAGGGGUAGGAGUGAAAUCCUGUAAUCCUUGGGGGACCACCUGUGGCGAAGGCGUCUCACCAGGACGGCUCCGACAGUGAGGGACGAAAGCUGGGGGAGCAAACCGGAUUAGAUACCCGGGUAGUCCCAGCCGUAAACGAUGUGCGUUAGGUGUAUCGGUGACCACGAGUCACCGAGGUGCCGAAGAGAAAUCGUGAAACGUACCGCCUGGGAAGUACGGUCGCAAGGCUGAAACUUAAAGGAAUUGGCGGGGGAGCACAAGGG